rnacentral:rRNA from 1 species
CCUACGGGGGGCUGCAGUCAUGAAUAUUCCACAAUGGGGGAAACCCUGAUGGAGCGACGCCGCGUGCAGGAUGACGGCCUUCGGGUUGUAAACUGCUUUUCUAAGGGACGAAGCUUCGGCUGACGGUACCUUGGGAAUAAGAGGUUGCUAACUCUGUGCCAGCAGCAGCGGUAAUACAGAGACCUCAAGCAUUAUCCGGAUUUAUUGGGCGUAAAGCGUCCGCAGGCGGUCCACCAAGUCUUUCGUUAAAUCUCAAGGCUCAACCUUGAGGCCGCGGGGGAAACUGGUGAACUAGAGGUUGGGAGAGGCAAGCGGAAUUACCGGUGUAGUAGUAAAAUGCGUUAAUAUCGGUAAGAACACCAAAGGCGAAGGCAGCUUGCUGGAACAUACCUGACGCUAAGGGACGAAAGCACGGGGAGCGAAGCGGAUUAGAUACCCAAGUAGUC